rnacentral:rRNA from 1 species
GGCGAACGGGUGAGUAAUGCUUCGGAAUCUGCCCAGUAGUGGGGAAUAACCAACCGAAAGGUUGGCUAACGCCGCAUACGACCUACGGGUGAAAGCAGGGGAUCGUAAGACCUUGCGCUAUUGGAUGAGCCGAAGUCGGAUUAGCUAGUUGGUAGGGUAACGGCCUACCAAGGCGACAAUCCGUAGCUGGUCUGAGAGGACGACCAGCCACACUGGGACUGAGACACGGCCCAGACUCCUACGGGAGGCAGCAGUGGGGAAUAUUGGACAAUGGGGGCAACCCUGAUCCAGCGACGCCGCGUGUGUGAAGAAGGCCUGCGGGUUGUAAAGCACUUUUAGUGGGGAUGAAAAGCUCAGGGCUAAUACCUCUGGGUCUUGACCUAACCCACAGAAAAAGCACCGGCUAACUCUGUGCCAGCAGCCGCGG